CUUCCGCUUCUGCUGUCUUGAUGACGCACAGUGCUGGCGCAAGUCGUCUUGCGCCAGGCGACUGGGUCUGAGGAGGCAGGAGUUAUUCAUUCCCUUAAGCUUUCAGGCCGGGGGGAGAAUCUUUCAGGUGGUAGCUGCAAGAACUCUUAGUAUGUUGACCUCACCUCUGCCUUCCACAUACCACUACCAGUGAGGAAUUAGGAAUGCAUGAGAAGAGUGUCCAAGAAGAGUGUCCUCAUUCAUGCAAGGCUUAAGAGAGAAUGCAGGUCAACAUCACCAUGUCAAUCAGAGAAUACUUCUGUUGGGUUGAAUGACUCUCUGCCCCCAGUCUGACUGGUUGGAAGAGGCCCUUUUCCCAGCCUUUGUCUUUCAGAGUGACUAACCAUACCAGUUUGACCAAGACUGUAUUGGCUGCAGCACUUAAAAGCUCACAUCCCGGAAAUCCUUUGGUCCUCGGUGAAUUGGGAUGGUUGGUUACCCUAUUACUGAUGAUUGUAAUUCUCAGGAAAGAGAUCUUCAUGUAAACAGAGUCCCUCUUAUUGGCUGAAGUGAAGAGUCAUUCUGAG
rnacentral:lncRNA from 1 species